GAACUUUAAGGUGUAUGGAUACAUUGUAAGUGGUAAAACACUUCUUCGAGUGGUCGAUAUGUGGUCUUCUCAAUCAAAACUAAGGAGCAAACGGAGCAAUAAAGUCAUAAAAGUCCAUAUUGAUUAGAGCAGAUAUCUAAACAUUGUCACUGCUAUAGUUUCUUUUUGCUUUGAAUCAUAUUUAUUUGUUUUAUGCUUGCCUUGGGACUGGCCUUUUUCUCUUGUUAAGCUCAUUGAUUGUCUUUCGUCCAAAGAAUUUACUGCGAAGGCUGAUUGUGUCAACAAUAAAGAAAGCAUCAACAACAACAAAAACAAACUUAAGCAAUUGUUGCGUUCAUAUGGAGACCACUCUCUAGCAGUAAAUCGUUGUAACAAAGAUCGCUGAAAUCCAGUAGUAGCAGAGAUCAUAUAGCAACGAACCUUUAUCCAAUAUUCCCUUGUGGUUUGUCCACAGCAUGGUCUGCUUUCCUCAGGGGGUGGUACAGCCGACAGAUGCAUCAGAUUCUGGAAUACACUAACAGGACAACCACUACAGUGUGUGGACACUGGCUCGCAGGUUUGCAACUUAGCAUGGUCUAAGCAUUCUAAUGAACUAGUUAGUACGCACGGCUACUCACAGAACCAGAUCUUAGUUUGGAAAUAUCCGUCGUUGACUCAAGUAGCCAAGUUAACAGGGCAUUCUUACAGAGUUCUUUAUCUGGCUGUAUCACCUGAUGGUGAAGCUAUAGUAACAGGAGCCGGGGAUGAAACUCUUCGAUUUUGGAAUGUCUUCAACAAAGCACGCUCACACAAGGAAUCCAAAUCUGAGCUCAACCUCUUCUCAAGGAUCAGAUGAUAUUAGCUCAAGAACCAAAGUUUUAAAACCUUAAACCAUUUAAGUAUGUUGGAGGAUGCACAAGAAACCUUCACACUUGUAUUGAACAACAAGAGACCGUGCGGUACACAUACAAAACUGUCUUCUUAUGAACCAAAGAAGAGCCGAGAUGGUAGUUACACAAUACAACAAAUUGAAGUGAUCUGCAGUUACCCUCACAUCCUCACAUGUUUGCCAGGAAUUGUAUAUCCAUGGAGGAACCAAAUGUCAAUCACUAUUUGAAAUAAAGGAUCACAAGGAAACUAGGGUUUAAUUUCGAUGCUCUGAUGUUGAAAAUUUGACAUCGUUUCUUGAGGCAAACAGAAAUAAAGCGUAAUGUUACUAAUA